AGAGUUUGAUCCUGGCUCAGAUUGAACGCUGGCGGCAGGCUUAACACAUGCAAGUCGAGCGGGGAGAUGUAGCUUGCUACAUUUCCUAGCGGCGGACGGGUGAGUAAUGCUUAGGAAUCUGCCUAUUAGUGGGGGACAACAUUCCGAAAGGAAUGCUAAUACCGCAUACGCCCUACGGGGGAAAGCAGGGGAUCUUCGGACCUUGCGCUAAUAGAUGAGCCUAAGUCAGAUUAGCUAGUUGGUGGGGUAAAGGCCUACCAAGGCGACGAUCUGUAGCGGGUCUGAGAGGAUGAUCCGCCACACUGGGACUGAGACACGGCCCAGACUCCUACGGGAGGCAGCAGUGGGGAAUAUUGGACAAUGGGCGCAAGCCUGAUCCAGCCAUGCCGCGUGUGUGAAGAAGGCCUUUUGGUUGUAAAGCACUUUAAGCGAGGAGGAGGCUACUUGGAUUAAUACUCUAGGAUAGUGGACGUUACUCGCAGAAUAAGCACCGGCUAACUCUGUGCCAGCAGCCGCGGUAAUA
rnacentral:rRNA from 1 species